CCUAACACAUGCAAGUCGAACGAUGCUUUCGGGCAUAGUGGCGCACGGGUGCGUAACGCGUGGGAAUCUGCCCUUGGGUUCGGGAUAACCGUUGGAAACGACGGCUAAUACCGGAUGAUGACGUAAGUCCAAAGAUUUAUCGCCCAGGGAUGAGCCCGCGUAGGAUUAGCUAGUUGGUGGGGUAAAGGCCUACCAAGGCGACGAUCCUUAGCUGGUCUGAGAGGAUGAUCAGCCACACUGGGACUGAGACACGGCCCAGACUCCUACGGGAGGCAGCAGUGGGGAAUAUUGGACAAUGGGCGAAAGCCUGAUCCAGCAAUGCCGCGUGAGUGAUGAAGGCCUUAGGGUUGUAAAGCUCUUUUACCCGGGAUGAUAAUGACAGUACCGGGAGAAUAAGCCCCGGCUAACUCCGUGCCAGCAGCCGCGGUAAU
rnacentral:rRNA from 1 species